GCUGGGCAUGGUGGCUCAUGCCUGUAAUCCCAGCACUUUGGGAGGCUGAGGUGGGAGGAUCACAUGAGCUCAGGAGUUCGAGAGCAGCCUGGGCAACAUGGUGAAACCCCAUCUCUA
ensembl:misc_RNA Metazoa_SRP Metazoan signal recognition particle RNA